rnacentral:rRNA from 1 species
UACGUAGGGGGCAAGCGUUGUCCGGAUUUAUUGGGCGUAAAGAGCGUGUAGGCGGCUUUACAGGUCCGUUGUGAAAACUCGAGGCUCAACCUCGAGACGCCGGUGGAAACCGUAAAGCUAGAGUCCGGAAGAGGAGAGUGGAAUUCCUGGUGUAGCGGUGAAAUGCGCAGAUAUCAGGAGGAACACCCGUGGCGAAAGCGGCUCUCUGGGACGGUACUGACGCUGAGGCACGAAAGCCAGGGGAGCAAACGGG